UACGGAGGGUGCAAGCGUUAUCCGGAUUCACUGGGUUUAAAGGGUGCGUAGGUGGGCAGGUAAGUCUGUCGUGAAAUCCCCGGGCUUAACCUGGGAAUGGCGAUGGAGACUGCGAGGCUAGAGUUUGGCAGAGGGGGGUAGAAUUCCACGUGUAGCAGUGAAAUGCGUAGAGAUGUGGAGGAACACCGAUGGCGAAGGCAGCCCCCUGGGUCAAAACUGACGCUCAUGCACGAAAGCGUGGGGAGCAAACAGG
rnacentral:rRNA from 1 species